rnacentral:lncRNA from 1 species
AUGAUUCUAACAGCAUUGCAUUCAAACUCUGAUGUUUGGUUGGUUGUGUUCCUGAACCAUGACACUAUCUAGAACAGUACUUUGCAUUACAUUGCCCUGAUAACUGAGUCUGCUAGCCUUGUUUUGCUGCAGGAUUUGUGUUGUAGCCGGCUAGCAUGAUGAUGAUGGUAUGGUGCUUUUGCAAAGCAGGAUGUGACAUGGGCUAUUGCAGCAGUAUUGGCUAGAUCAUUCGCAUCCAUGGAUUUGUUGCACAUGUAUAAGGUUUUUGUUGCAUCCAAAGGGCAUGAGCAAAGGAUAAUGGUUGAACUGUUAGGGGCUCCUUGGUCCAUGGUUAGGGGCAGGCCAAUGGCAAAUGGU